rnacentral:lncRNA from 1 species
UUUUCUUUUUUUUUUGAGAACGCACGUGACAACGGAUCGCCGAUCGAACAGAUUGACAGUUUACUGGACUCGCUGAACCGAGUGGCGUUCAUUUCCAAGCGUACGACAGAGGCAGGGGAAUUUCACGUGGUAUCAACGUGUCCAGUACA